rnacentral:lncRNA from 1 species
UUUUUGUUGUGCUGUCAUUGUUGUCAUUGUUCUCGUCAUUGUCAUUGUUUCNNNNNNNNNNAUUGUCUUCGUUGUUGUUGUCGUCGUCGUUGUUGUUGGUUUUGUUGUUGUAGUAGUAGUAGUUGUUGUUGUUGUUUUUGUUGUUGUUGUUGUUGUUGUUGUUGUUGUUGUUGUUGUUGUUGUUGUUGUCGUUGUUAUUGGCGUUGUCGUCAUCGUCGUCGUCGUUGUCGUCAUCAUCGUCAUCGUUGUCGUCGUCGUCCUCAUCAUCAUCGUUGUUGUUGCUAUGGUUGUUG